rnacentral:rRNA from 1 species
AGAGUUUGAUCCUGGCUCAGGACGAACGCUGGCGGCGUGCCUAAUACAUGCAAGUCGAACGAAGCUUUCUUUCACCGAAUGCUUACAUUCACCGAAAGAAGCUUAGUGGCGAACGGGUGAGUAACACGUAGGCAACCUGCCCAAAAGAGGGGGAUAACACUUGGAAACAGGUGCUAAUACCGCAUAACCAUGAACACCGCAUGAUGUUCAUGUAAAAGACGGCUUUUGCUGUCACUUUUGGAUGGGCCUGCGGCGUAUUAACUUGUUGGUGGGGUAACGGCCUACCAAGGUGAUGAUACGUAGCCGAACUGAGAGGUUGAUCGGCCACAUUGGGACUGAGACACGGCCCAAACUCCUACGGGAGGCAGCAGUAGGGAAUCUUCCACAAUGGACGAAAGUCUGAUGGAGCAACGCCGCGUGAAUGAAGAAGGCCUUCGGGUCGUAAAAUUCUGUUGUCAGAGAAGAACGUGCGUGAGAGUAACUGUUCACGUAUUGACGGUAUCUGACCAGAAAGCCACGGCUAACUACGUGCCAGCAGCCGCGGUAAUACGUAGGUGGCGAGCGUUGUCCGGAUUUAUUGGGCGUAAAGGGAACGCAGGCGGUCUUUUAAGUCUGAUGUGAAAGCCUUCGGCUUAACCGAAGUAGUGCAUUGGAAACUGUAAGACUUGAGUGCAGAAGAGGAGAGUGGAACUCCAUGUGUAGCGGUGAAAUGCGUAGAUAUAUGGAAGAACACCAGUGGCGAAAGCGGCUCUCUGGUCUGUAACUGUCGCUGAGGUUCGAAAGCGUGGGUAGCAAACAGGAUUAGAUACCCUGGUAGUCCACGCCGUAAACGAUGAGUGCUAAGUGUUGGAGGGUUUCCGCCCUUCAGUGCUGCAGCUAACGCAUUAAGCACUCCGCCUGGGGAGUACGGUCGCAAGACUGAAACUCAAAGGAAUUGACGGGGGCCCGCACAAGCGGUGGAGCAUGUGGUUUAAUUCGAAGCAACGCGAAGAACCUUACCAGGUCUUGACAUCUUCUGACAAUUCCAGAGAUGGAACGUUCCCUUCGGGGACAGAAUGACAGGUGGUGCAUGGUUGUCGUCAGCUCGUGUCGUGAGAUGUUGGGUUAAGUCCCGCAACGAGCGCAACCCUUAUUGUCAGUUGCCAUCAUUAAGUUGGGCACUCUGGCGAGACUGCCGGUGACAAACCGGAUGAAGGUGGGGAUGACGUCAAAUCAUCAUGCCCCUUAUGACCUGGGCUACACACGUGCUACAAUGGACGGUACAACGAGUCGCUAACUCGCGAGGGCAAGCUAAUCUCUUAAAGCCGCUCUCAGUUCGGAUUGCAGGCUGCAACUCGCCUGCAUGAAGUCGGAAUCGCUAGUAAUCGCGAAUCAGCAUGUCGCGGUGAAUACGUUCCCGGGCCUUGUACACACCGCCCGUCACACCAUGAGAGUUUGUAACACCCAAAGCCGGUGGGGUAACCUUUUGGAGCCAGCCGCCUAAGGUGGGACAGAUGAUUGGGGUGAAGUCGUAACAAGGUA